GACGAACGCUGGCGGCGUGCUUAACACAUGCAAGUCGAACGGAAAGGCCCUGCUUUUGUGGGGUGCUCGAGUGGCGAACGGGUGAGUAACACGUGAGUAACCUGCCCUUGACUUUGGGUUAACUUCAGGAAACUGGGGCUAAUACCGGAUAGGAGCUCCUGCUGCAUGGUGGGGGUUGGAAAGUUUCGGCGGUUGGGGAUGGACUCGCGGCUUAUCAGCUUGUUGGUGGGGUAGUGGCUUACCAAGGCUUUGACGGGUAGCCGGCCUGAGAGGGUGACCGGCCACAGUGGGACUGAGAUACGGCCCAGACUCCUACGGGAGGCAGCAGUGGGGAAUAUUGCACAAUGGGCGGGAGCCUGAUGCAGCAACGCCGCGUGCGGGAUGACGGCCUUCGGGUUGUAAACCGCUUUCGCCUGUGACGAAGCGUGAGUGACGGUAAUGGGUAAAGAAGCACCGGCUAACUACGUG
rnacentral:rRNA from 1 species